GAUGAAGAACGCAGCGAAAUGCGAUAAGUAGUGUGAAUUGCAGAAUUCAGUGAAUCAUCGAAUCUUUGAACGCACAUUGCGCCCUUCGGUUAUUCCUUAGGGCAUGCCUGUUCGAGCGUCAUUUCAACCUUCAAGCCUGGCUUGGUGUUGGGCGCUGUCCCGCCUCCGCGCGCGGACUCGCCCCAAAUGAAUUGGCAGUCGCACCCUCCGAGCCGCGAGCGCAGCACAAGUCGCGCGGGCGGAACCCCGGGGGGACGGACGCUCCACAAGACCCUUUCUAAGUCUUGACCUCGGAUCAGGUAGGGAUACCCGCUGAACUUAAGCAUAUCAAUAAGCGGAGGA
rnacentral:misc_RNA from 1 species